rnacentral:rRNA from 1 species
GACGAACGCUGGCGGCGUGCCUAAUACAUGCAAGUAGAACGCUGAAGGAGGAGCUUGCUUCUCUGGAUGAGUUGCGAACGGGUGAGUAACGCGUAGGUAACCUGCCUGGUAGCGGGGGAUAACUAUUGGAAACGAUAGCUAAUACCGCAUAAGAGUAGAUGUUGCAUGACAUUUGCUUAAAAGGUGCAAUUGCAUCACUACUAGAUGGACCUGCGUUGUAUUAGCUAGUUGGUGGGGAAACGGCUCACCAAAGCGACGAUUCAUAGACGACCUGGGAGGGGUAUCGGGCACACUUGGACUGGUGAACCGCCCAGGCUCCUUCGGGAGGCAGCAGUAGGGGAACUUCGGCAAUGGACGGAAAUCUGACCGAGCAACGCCGCGUGAGUGAAGAAGGUUUUCGGAUCGUAAAGAUCUGUUGUAAGAGAAGAACGAGUGUGAUAGUGGAAAGUUCACGCUGUGACGGUAUCUUACCAGAAAGCGACGGCUAACUACGUG